GACGAACGCUGGCGGCGUGCUUAAUACAUGCAAGUCGAGCGAGGUUACUGUUUUGGAUCCCUUCGGGGUGAAGAAGCUUUAACCUAGCGGCGGACGGGUGAGUAACGCGUGGGUAACCUACCCCAAAGUCCGGGAUAACAGCGGGAAACCGCUGCUAAUACCGGAUGCCUUUACCUUGGGGCAUCUUGAGGUAAAGAAAGGCAACGCUUUGGGAUGGGCCCGCGUCCCAUUAGCUAGUUGGUGAGGUAACGGCUCACCAAGGCGACGAUGGGUAGCCGGCCUGAGAGGGUGGACGGCCACACUGGGACUGAGACACGGCCCAGACUCCUACGGGAGGCAGCAGUAGGGAAUAUUGCGCAAUGGACGGAAGUCUGACGCAGCGACGCCGCAUGAGCGAUGAAGGUCUUCGGAUCGUAAAGCUCUGUCCUUGGGGAAGAAGGCGAAAGCUUGACGGUACCCAAGAAGAAAGCCCCGGCUAACUACGUGCCACAGCCGCGGUAAUACGUANGGGGCGAGCGUUGUCCGGAAUUACUGGGCGUAAAGGGUGCGUAGGCGGCCCUUUAAGUCGGAUGUGAAAGCCCCGGCUUAACCCGCGA
rnacentral:rRNA from 1 species